AGCUUUGCGCAAUGGCAGUAUCGUAGCCAAUGAGGUUUAUCCGAGGCGCGAUUAUUGCUAAUUAAAACGUUAUCCCCUUUGGUCAUUGUUGUUCUAGAGCCCUUUUAUGCCUUAAUAUAUGAUAUUUAAAUGU
rnacentral:snRNA from 1 species